CUUCGAGUUCCCUGCCCCCCCCCUUCCUCACUCCUCCAGCGCCCCCUCCAGAUUCCCUCCGGGUCUCCCAGGCCUGUGCCUCUGGUCUAGACUCUUGGUGGGGGAUGGGAGGCGAGUUCAAAAUCCCACCUGAGCCGAGGGGGAGGAGCUGGGGAAGCACUGGCCAGGUGUGUCUCUUCCUAGCCUUAUGUUUUCUUUCCAUCUAUCNNNNNNNNNNNNNNNNNNAGAUUCCAGCCCUUAAUCCGUAAUGACGUGGAUCGAUCCAUAGUCGGCAUUAAGGGCUCCUCACUUUCGUGUCCCGCUAAUGGACAUCAAUUUGGGACUUAAGGCCGACAAAUAAGCCAACCUGAGACCCAGGCGCCUGCUUCUCCCUCUCUCCCCCUCCGCCUGCUGCCUCUCCCUUUCUUCCCCUUAUUCUUCCUCCCUCCUUCGACUACCACCCCUUUUCCUGGUGCCUCCUCUUUCCCCAGCCCCAAACCCCCAGGGAAACACAGUCCGGGACAGACUCAACUCUCCCUCGCCAGCGUCACACCGCCCCCCUUCCCAUGACGCACUCCGUUUUUAAUGGAACCGUCUUCGGGAAAAUGAGCACUGAAGCCAGGCUGGAAGACUGAACCACAACGUGUUUUCAACAUUUUAACUAUGCACGUGGAGGCCAGGCAGUCACGGGUGAUAACCUUCAGACCUGGGUUCAGGAAUGAGCCAGGAUGUGUGGCAAAAUCUGAUGAUAAAGGGGCCAGGCUGACUCUCCACUGCCUUGUUCUUUGGGCUCCUUUCUGUGGGCCAGGGCUGUGCCCUGCAGAUGCCUUCAGGCACUCAGGUUGCCUGUUGUGAGAUGGAGCCGCAAAGGCAGGGCCUGGGCGCCUGGAGUCCGGCAUGAAAGGAAAUAGCGCCUCAUCGCUCUUAUCUAAGCCCAGAGCGUAUGUGUGUCGAUUUCGCUUGAAACGAUCGAGAAUGGGGGAGGGGACCCACACUCACUUGCAGACACCAACAGUUUCCAGAGAAUUUCGGCUCAAUUCCUUCACCACGGACUCACCGGGCCAAGCAACUGGCAAGACCCACCAGCCAGCCCGGAGAACACAGACCCGGGUUUGUCUUUUGACAGCCGAGUGGAACUGCGGGGGCCGGCGCCUCCCCUGCUGGCCCCCUCCCUUGGCCGAAAAGAAAACCAAAUAAACCUUGAACAGCCUUGGCCUCGCAUCUCCCGAGCGGCCCGGAUGAUCCCCUCUCGAGCCCUGGAGGGGUAGGCGGGUGAGGGCUCGCGACUCGGAUCCCCCAACCCUUUGGUUCAGGGCCCUCUGCCCGCGGGAUGCAGUAUGAGUCCUUUUUAAAUAUGAC
rnacentral:lncRNA from 1 species